GCCUGUUUCCACACUCGUGAAAUGAAAUGCCUUUAUUUGUCGUUGUAAGCACUGCAUACAACAAAAUUGUUGUUGCCACUCCUUUGGUGCAUAAUAUACAAACAUAAAAACACAGGACACAAUUUAAAAACAAUGUUAAAAACUAGGUAUUAAAAUAAGUAAGUAAUCAGUACUGUACAUGGUGAUAGUAAAAGUUCAAGGUGAGUAGCAGCAUGGAAGAGUGCAGCAUGAAUAAUACUCAGUGUUUUUUCAUGUUAAGUGUGAAGAUUGCUUUGGGGAAGAAACUGUCUCCAAGUCUGGAGGUGCGUGUUUUGGCUGACCUGUAACGCCUGCCAGAGGGCAACAGUUCAAAAAGG